ensembl:lncRNA
AUUAUGUGUAGAAAUCGUGGCCGCAGAAUGGAAACAAUUUAAGAAAAACAACAGUGUGCUACGCAUCUAGGAACCAAUUAUGUAGAUCUUGCGUGAGGGGGAUCAAAUAUGCGGUUGCACAAUGGAGAGCAACAUGGACAUCAGAAGAACUAAAGAGGACAAAAAACUGCUUGGAAGGCAGAUUAAAGCCAGUCACACAUUAUUGAAACACAAGGGCAUAAGCACAGUGUCACAUCGCACAAAGUGCAGAAAGCUUUAAAAGACCGAAGAGUGAAGCAUUAUGGGUAUGAGUUUCGGUACAAUAAUAAUAACAUGGAUAAAAACAAACCCUUACCGCGUGGAAUACAACCACCAGAAAUCAAAACAUCUGAAAGAAAGGACAACUGGAACUAUGCUGGAGAGCUUCAAACUGAAGAAAAUAAGUCCAACCAACAGGAGGAGCAUGAUAGGAAAAUAAGUGCAGACACAUGAUAAUUCUUCAAAGAAUGGUGUAUAUCAAUAAAUGCAAUUUUAAACUGUACAUUUUAAUGUAAGUUUGAAUUUUUUCAUGCAUGCAGUGAUAAAAGCUGCUAAUAAAACACAUCCGAAGAAUCAUCACUGAAUAUGAAAUGUUUUUGUAAAGCAGUACAAAAUGUUCCUUUAUAUGCUUUCUGGUACAAAACCUCAAUUAAUUACUCUUCUUCUCUGAACUCCCUCACUUCAGCUGGUUUAUGCCUGGAUGAUUUUAACACUUAACAAAUUCUACAUUAAUGCAAUGUAAGCGCCAUAACUAUGUCAAUACAUUAUUACGGUACUAUGUGGUUGUUAUUAGUGCCAAGGUUUAAAAUGUAACAUUACUGUUUACUACAGUAUGCAUACGAGGGUCCCAGGUCCGUCUCACUACAGUACAGCUCAAAAGUUUGGGGUUUUUGAAAGAAGCCUCUUAUGCUCACCAAGGCUGCAUUUAUUAAAAUCCAAAAAUACAGUAAUAUUGUGAAAUAUUAUUACAAUUUAAAAUAACUUUUCUACUCUAACUUUAUCCCUACUUAUUUGUAUUUAUUUAUUUUUUUGUGUGUUUGAAACAGUAAUCUUUUUUUUCCAGGCUUCUUUAAUGAAUACAAUGUUUAAAACAGCAUUAUAAAUGUCACUUUUGAUCAUUUAAACGCAUCCUUGUUUAAUAUAAGUAUUAAUUUCUUUAAAAAAAUAAAAUGAU